AACAGAAUGCCUGAAUAAAAGGAUUAUUUUGAUAGAAUAAAUCAUGUAAAUAUUUUUUACUUCUGUUA
rnacentral:tRNA from 1 species